GGUGAUGUAGCUCAGUCGGUUAGAGCAUCGGAUUCAUAAUCCGGGGGUCGGCAGUUCAAGUCUGCCCAUCACCACCA
rnacentral:tRNA from 6 species